AUUGAACGCUGGCGGCAUGCCUUACACAUGCAAGUCGAACGGAUUUUGGGGCUUGCUCCAAAGUUAGUGGCGAACGGGUGAGUAAUGCAUCGGAACGUACCCAGUCGUGGGGGAUAACGUAGCGAAAGUUACGCUAAUACCGCAUACGAUCUGAGGAUGAAAGCGGGGGACCUUCGGGCCUCGCGCGAUUGGAGCGGCCGAUGUCGGAGUAGCUAGUUGGUGAGGUAAAGGCUCACCAAGGCGACGAUCCGUAGCUGGUCUGAGAGGACGACCAGCCAGACUGGGACUGAGACACGGCCCAGACGCCUACGGGAGGCAGCAGUGGGGAAUUUUGGACAAUGGGCGAAAGCCUGAUCCAGCCAUGCCGCGUGAGUGAAGAAGGCCUUCGGGUUGUAAAGCUCUUUCAGACGGAAAGAAAUCUCUCGGGUGAAUAUCCCGAGAGGAUGACGGUACCGUAAGAAGAAGCACCGGCUAACUACGUGCCAGCCGCCGCCGUAAUAC
rnacentral:rRNA from 1 species